rnacentral:misc_RNA from 1 species
UAAGGGAUGGUUUUGUGCAGG